UUCCCCAGUUGCAAACAUCAGCUUUGAAGCAUCAUAUGCAGCCUCAUUUGAGAUAUUUCUCAAUAGAUACAUCAAAACCUCAUUAAAAUGAUCUGGAUUGGAUAUAUUUUUCCCUUGAGUUUCCCGGUCCACAUACUUUCCAGUGUAAACUUGCAUCGAGAAAAAUGACUGGAUAGAAUAUCGGACUUGACAUAAUUCAUACCAUAUAAUUGCACUUCUGCUCUUGCAAGCCUCCAGAAGUCGUUGACCUGCGGCCUUGACGCAAGUUUGGCAAGUUAUGGCAUUGGUAUCUCCUCUACAAAGUGCUUG
rnacentral:misc_RNA from 1 species